CAAAACCAAUCAGAGUGGAAGUGUGGCCUUUUGCCCGAGGGGAAAACUUACCCCUGGAUGAGUUAAUUACGCAUCACUUAGCUGUUGCCAAUGUGUUCACAACGGUGGACCCUCUUUUGGGCUUUUUACAACGAUUGUCUUCUUUUUUCGGUCAAUCUAGUAUGGAAAGUAGACAACAAUGGCUUACCAGGCUGAAAAAUGAACUUAGCAACAGUCCUCUGGUAUCAAAUGUGGCUUUUGGCUUUAUCCUCAUGGGACUAGAGAAACUGGUGGAGCUGGAGUUUGAGUGUCCUUGCAACCCUACAUGGAACGGAGUGUUUUCAUCAGCAUUCUUCAUAAUUCCUGCCGUCAUGGCCUUCACCUUGAUGCUGAUCAUUCAAGGAUGCAGAUGUGAUACGUGGUGCAGGAAAACUGUUUCCUUCUCCAGUUUCGUUCCUGCUAUCGUGUGGCUGAUAUUGUUGUUCCUCGAUGGCCAAUACUUUGCUUGUGCUAUGACAGACUGGGAGGGUAGAUUUGUACUAGUUGACAAGGCAGCUCCGCAGAAGUGGUGUGAGCCAAUUAGUGAGGGAGAUGUCACCCCACAAGAACUAAUGCUCCGCUCGCAGCAGCUGUUUGUUUUUUCUCAGGUUAUAGGCAUAAUCCUCCUCAUUUUCAUCUGUGUGGGUCUCGUAGUGUAUGUAAUCAGAGAAAGCUGCCAUCAAGAGGUGGAGAUGCAGGAUGCAGAUGUAGCCGAGCUCACUGUGCUCAGGAUGAGCUCUCUACGGACCAGGACAUCAUGAGAGGACUUACACCGCCCACCACACCUGUCCUGCUGGCAUAGACACUUUGUAAAUAUCUUGAACAGACUUUACUAUUUCCAUAACUAUUGCCAAUAAUUGCCAUUUGAAAAUAUUUUCCCUUGUACCAAUUUGACAUAAUGAAAAUGGUGUUGUUGUUUUUUCUGUAUUAUCAGUGAAUAUGUAAACGGUGCCUGUGGUCAUCUCAUAUUUUAGAGCACCAACUUAUUAGUUUUGACUAAUAUCUUUACAGGAACAGUUUGAUAUUUUGGGAAAUCUGCUUAUUCGCUUUUUGCCAAGAGUUAUAAGAAAAGAUCAAUAGAAUAUAAUGUCUGUCAGGUAGAUAUGAAACAAUACAGCCAGAAGCCGGUUAGCUUAGGGUUAGGGUUAGGUAAAAAGAUGAAAUAGGGGGAAGCAGCCUGCCAGGCUGUGUUCACAGUUAACAAAUUCACCUCUAAAGGUCACAAAUUAAUCUAUUAUAUCUCGUUUGUUUGAUCGGUAUAAAAACCCAAGUGCGAAAAUAAUAAUUUGCUGUUUUACGGGGGUUUGUGUGGCAGACUGUUUCAUGUAUGGGAGUAAUUGCCAGCCAACCAGCAGAUACUCCAGAAAGUUACGGCAGGAGAUAGUCCGGUGUAUAAACCCAUCAUAAGAUGGUGAAUUACCUGUUUCCCCCUUUUUCCACUCUUUGUGCUAAGUUAACUAGCUAACUGGCUGCUGACUCCAGCUUCAUAUUUACCAUAUAGACAUGAGUAUAAUAUCGAACUUCUCGAGCUCUCAACAAGAAGGCAAAUAAGCAUAUUUCUCAAAAUGUCAAACUAUUCCUUUAAAGUGAUUUCAUUUUGGCACAUUUUGUGAAUUUUUAGUGGACAUGAAUUGUCAGCCAGCAGCUCUGAGAAACUCAGUCAGUACUGCUCUUUUACUCUGAACUUUUUAUACCUUGAAAAUAGUAUUUCAUUUGUAGUAUUUCAAGUUUUUUUGUGCUUUUUGUAUUAGUUAUAUUGACAAUCCACCAGGCAGCUAAUAUCGAUCUGACUAAUAUUAGUUGUUCCGUUGUUUGAGGUGUGUGUGCCAAAAUUGAAAAUGUUCCAUCAAAGUGAAAUUUCACUUGAAAUAUUUUUGUUUUCCCACCGGGGUAGCAAAUGUCUCCAGAUUUAUGUAGGGUCAGACCCAAGUCAUGUCUAAUCCUACCUAACAGUGAUGAUUCAAACUGAACUGAUAUUCCUAAUGAUUUACCUGUUUGACAGCUAGAGAUGUAAAACCAUGUACGUAAUGAUUUGCAUCAUGGCUGCUACCAGCCAAUAGUAGGAUGUAGAAACAAAUUAUAUAACAGUAUUUGCAGUAUGUUUUUUUAUUGUUUUGUAAUAAACUAAUUUAUUUAUUGAAGUAAAACCCUCAGGGAUUUUGUACAGUCAUGUCAUAAUAGCAUGUUAGUUUCCACAAUCGUGGUAAACUGACAGUCUUGGGAAUUUAUGUGUGAUCAACUCAGUUAUGAAACUAGGUUUUACUGUAACAUCUCUAGCAAGUGAAUUUUACAAAUACCAAUACAUUGUUGGACAAAAAAAUAAUAAUUUGAAUUACAAAUACUGCUGUUUGAAAUUCAUAGCAAUGAAUGGUAACAUUGGGAAUAUCCUUUCAACGUUUAAUGGGUUUGUAUUAAAUGCCACACAUUCAAUACCUUAGCACAGUUGAAUAAGGGCCCUUCACUAAAACAAAUCUGCAGAAUAAUUAGUGUAACACAAGGUGUCUACAGAGGGAUACAAAUAUGGUGUGUAUAUUUGCAGGUGAGCAGCACCUUUGUGUUUUUGGACAGCUUUUAUCUAAAGGAAACUGUGGUUCAGUGAGUUUAUUGGGUACUCUCUGCAUCCUGGAGAUUCUCUGCAGGUCUGCCAAAACCUGACAGCAGUAGUGUAGUUCCGACUUGUAUUUCUUGUUAUUUACAACACUGCCUGAGUACCAGCUAAGCCCAUUAAGUGUAGAAAUUGGGGCAGACCCUGCAUGUUCAUCUUGUGGGAGGGCUUAUUCACGACUUCCUGGAUGGCCUGGAGGAAAUUGUUGUCUUUAUCCACUCAGCUCCCCCCACUUGUAGCCUCAGCAGGGUGUCAUAUUCAUCGGGCACCAAAUUUAGACCCACUACUGGGGCUCGAAGGAGUCUUGAAUAAGUUUACUUUCUUUAUGAGCAAUAAACUGUUUGAUUUUGGAUGACCUCUAUGGUAAAUUAUUCUCACCCAGAGUAGCAGUUCUAUCACUCUUGUGAGGUAAUUUGACAAAUGCUGUCUCACCUUUCUGUAGCAGGGAUUUCCCCUCCAAAAGACAAGAGACAUACCCUCAACCAGGGAUUUAGGGACACUUUUAGGGACUAUGGGACAGGCAGACUUAAAAACAAUGGCAACUCUCUUCAGCCACAGAUACUACUGUAUAUUACAAGGGGUUCUGUCUAAAAUAGUUAUUACAAACAACAUGGGGCCCAAUGAUAAGACAUUAGAUGGUGUUUCACAUUGCCAAAGAUAUGGUGUCCUUUAUAACUCAUUUUCUAGGACAAACAAAGCAACAAUAACUUAAAAUCGAAAAUUGGAUGUAGUGUAAAAAAAUAUGAGAUUUGAUUUUUAGGCCAUAUUGCCCAGCCCUUCACUAAAUGUGUUAUAACUAUGUUGCAGAUCUUGUGAAAUGUUGUAAUCAAACCCCAUAUCAUGAGAGGACAGUUAAAGAGACAUGAGAAAUAUAUCAAAACUAAAACAGUUGUUUUUUAUCAUGUGCAUGCCAUUUUAGACCAUAACUAGAACAAAUUGUGUAUUUAUAAAUACUAUUACAAACCAAUGGAACCUUAUAUAUCUUUAAAAUUCCUUUAUAUACAUGAAUAUAAAGGAAUUCGUUAUCUCAACAUGUUGAAAAACACAAAAUAUUUUUAUGUUGUUCAUCAAACAUUUCAAUUUGUUUGACUUCUAGAAUGAAAUUUCUAAGUCAGAUGGUCAGACUUAAAUGAGGGACUUCUCAUCAACACUAAACCUGAUGGACUGUAAUUGAAUGUGUUGUAUAAACAACAGAUUGAUGUAUCAAAAAAUAGUCCAUAACACAAAAUACCAACAGGUAAAAGAUAUAGCAAGGAUUUAAGCAUAUAAGGGCCCAGUAUAGCCUCGGUGUGUCACUCUAAGCUUUGUGUGUGAAAUUGGAUAUGUUUAAAUCCAUACAAGCCUACACUUGGCUUGAACGAGAUAAGAA